AUUUCACACACAAAAAGGCACCCAAAAACAAGAACAACAGCCCUCCCCUUCACCAAAAAAUCGACCAUUAACCCAAUUCCUCCAACCUUCAGCCGUCAUCAUUUUAUGUAUUCAACCCCACACCACGAAAAGAAAAACACAUACACACACAAAAAAAAAAUAAAAUCAAAGACAAACAAAAAAUAGAGGAGAAUCGGAUGAAAAAGCAUCAUUGUUUUGGAGUGUUAACCUUGUAGUUUAAAUUUCGGAAAAAAUCAGAAAAAAUACAAAAACAUUAGUUCUCUUUCUCCUCAAGUUUUUAGCUUUUUAAACAUGGAGAUUAUUUGAGGUUUGAAUCUGAGUCGAGGUGUCGUUCAAGGUGUGUUCGCGGUUCCGUUCGAUUUCUGCGGCAAUUUUAUCGUUUAGAGUUGGCCAUUGAAUUUGUACUUACUGUCUCUUCUGAUUUUGUUAAACUAAUUUCUUCCUCAACAUGUUCAUUCUGUUAUCUCC
rnacentral:lncRNA from 1 species